AGUGAACGCUGGCGGUAGGCCUAACACAUGCAAGUCGAACGGCAGCACAGUAAGAGCUUGCUCUUACGGGUGGCGAGUGGCGGACGGGUGAGGCAUACAUCGGAAUCUACUUUUUCGUGGGGGAUAACGUAGGGAAACUUACGCUAAUACCGCAUACGACCUACGGGUGAAAGCAGGGGAUCUUCGGACCUUGCGCGAUUGAAUGAGCCGAUGUCGGAUUAGCUAGUUGGCGGGGUAAGGGCCCACCAAGGCGACGAUCCGUAGCUGGUCUGAGAGGAUGAUCAGCCACACUGGAACUGAGACACGGUCCAGACUCCUACGGGAGGCAGCAGUAGGGAAUAUUGGACAAUGGGCGCAAGCCUGAUCCAGCCAUACCGCGUGGGUGAAGAAGGCCUUCGGGUUGUAAAGCCCUUUUGUUGGGAAAGAAAAGCAGCAGGUUAAUACCCCGCUGUUCUGACGGUACCCAAAGAAUAAGCACCGGCUAACUUCGUG
rnacentral:rRNA from 1 species